rnacentral:rRNA from 1 species
GACGAACGCUGGCGGCGUGCUUAACACAUGCAAGUCGAACGGAGUGGCGAACGGGUAAGUAACACGAGGGUGAUCUGCCUUACAAUUCGGGACAAGCUUGGGAAACUGGGUCUAAUACAGGAUCGUGGAAGAUGAGCGCGCGGCCUAUCAGCUUGUUGGUGGGGUAAUGGCCUACCCAGGCGUCGACGGGUAGACGGCCUGAGAGGGUGUACGGCCACAUUGGGACUGAGAUACCGCCCAGACUCCUACGUGAUGCAGCAGUGAGGAAUAUUGCACAAUGGGCGGAAGCCUGAUGCAGCGACGCCGCGUGGGGGAUGAAUGCCUUCGGGUUGUAAACUCCUUUCGACAGGGACGCGGUACCUGUAUAAGAAGCACCGGCUAACUACGUGCCAGCCGCCGCGGUAAUUC